rnacentral:rRNA from 1 species
AGCGGACCGACGGGAGCUUGCUCCCUUAGGUCAGCGGCGGACGGGUGAGUAACACGUGGGUAACCUGCCUGUAAGACUGGGAUAACUCCGGGAAACCGGGGCUAAUACCGGAUGCUUGAUUGAACCGCAUGGUUCAAUCAUAAAAGGUGGCUUUUAGCUACCACUUACAGAUGGACCCGCGGCGCAUUAGCUAGUUGGUGAGGUAACGGCUCACCAAGGCGACGAUGCGUAGCCGACCUGAGAGGGUGAUCGGCCACACUGGGACUGAGACACGGCCCAGACUCCUACGGGAGGCAGCAGUAGGGAAUCUUCCGCAAUGGACGAAAGUCUGACGGAGCAACGCCGCGUGAGUGAUGAAGGUUUUCGGAUCGUAAAACUCUGUUGUUAGGGAAGAACAAGUACCGUUCGAAUAGGGCGGUACCUUGACGGUACCUAACCAGAAAGCCACGGCUAACUACGUGCCAGCAGCCGCGGUAAUACGUAGGUGGCAAGCGUUGUCCGGAAUUAUUGGGCGUAAGCGCGCGCAGGCGGUUUCUUAAGUCUGAUGUGAAAGCCCCCGGCUCAACCGGGGAGGGUCAUUGGAAACUGGGGAACUUGAGUGCAGAAGAGGAGAGUGGAAUUCCACGUGUAGCGGUGAAAUGCGUAGAGAUGUGGAGGAACACCAGUGGCGAAGGCGACUCUCUGGUCUGUAACUGACGCUGAGGCGCGAAAGCGUGGGGAGCGAACAGGAUUAGAUACCCUGGUAGUCCACGCCGUAAACGAUGAGUGCUAAGUGUUAGAGGGUUUCCGCCCUUUAGUGCUGCAGCAAACGCAUUAAGCACUCCGCCUGGGGAGUACGGUCGCAAGACUGAAACUCAAAGGAAUUGACGGGGGCCCGCACAAGCGGUGGAGCAUGUGGUUUAAUUCGAAGCAACGCGAAGAACCUUACCAGGUCUUGACAUCCUCUGACAACCCUAGAGAUAGGGCUUCCCCUUCGGGGGCAGAGUGACAGGUGGUGCAUGGUUGUCGUCAGCUCGUGUCGUGAGAUGUUGGGUUAAGUCCCGCAACGAGCGCAACCCUUGAUCUUAGUUGCCAGCAUUCAGUUGGGCACUCUAAGGUGACUGCCGGUGACAAACCGGAGGAAGGUGGGGAUGACGUCAAAUCAUCAUGCCCCUUAUGACCUGGGCUACACACGUGCUACAAUGGGCAGAACAAAGGGCAGCGAAGCCGCGAGGCUAAGCCAAUCCCACAAAUCUGUUCUCAGUUCGGAUCGCAGUCUGCAACUCGACUGCGUGAAGCUGGAAUCGCUAGUAAUCGCGGAUCAGCAUGCCGCGGUGGAAUACGUUCCCGGGCCUUGUACACACCGCCCGUCACACCACGAGAGUUUGUAACACCCGAAGUCGGUGAGGUAACCUUUUGGAGCCAGCCGCCGAAAGGUGGGACAGAUGAU